AGUGAACGCUGGCGGUAGGCCUAACACAUGCAAGUCGAACGGCAGCACAGUAAGAGCUUGCUCUUACGGGUGGCGAGUGGCGGACGGGUGAGGAAUACAUCGGAAUCUACUUUUUCGUGGGGGGUAACGUAGGGAAACUUACGCUAAUACCGCAUACGACCUACGGGUGAAAGCAGGGGAUCUUCGGACCUUGCGCGAUUGAAUGAGCCGAUGUCGGAUUAGCUAGUUGGCGGGGUAAAGGCCCACCAAGGCGACGAUCCGUAGCUGGUCUGAGAGGAUGAUCAGCCACACUGGAACUGAGACACGGUCCAGACUCCUACGGGAGGCAGCAGUGGGGAAUAUUGGACAAUGGGCGCAAGCCUGAUCCAGCCAUACCGCGUGGGUGAAGAAGGCCUUCGGGUUGUAAAGCCCUUUUGUUGGGAGAGAAAAGCAGCAGGUUAAUACCCCGCUGUUCUGACGGUACCCAAAGAAUAAGCACCGGCUAACUUCGUG
rnacentral:rRNA from 1 species